rnacentral:lncRNA from 1 species
UAGAAAACUUCAUUUCGCUGACAAAAACAACGAAAUGAAGGACCCCCAAGCCGAGCACACGAAAGCACGUGCAGUGUGCACAGGCGAAACAAACACGUCUUACCGCGUGGAGCUCCAGACUCCAGUCCUUUGAGUAGGAUUUUCUACUCAUCUCUAUCAAAUACAAGAACUAAACUAUUAUACAAACUUAAAAGAAGUUAAAAUGUUGCUUGAACAAUGUUCAAAACGAUUAUUGUUAACAUUAGGGAAAAUUGCUAUGAUCAAAACUCUGGUUUUAUCAAAAUAAAAUUCUUCUUUUUUCUUCACUUAUGUAUGUGGAUAAUAAAUUAUAACAUUUGCAGGAGUGCCAUACAUUUAUGAAACUCAUUUGGGGAUUGUUUUACACCCCUUUGUCUCUAUCAGGGAAUUGUACAAUUCCCUAACUCAUUUCAUAAGUUCCCUAUGGCACUCAUGCAAUAACCUAUAUAUCUAUAUCUAUCUCUACCCAAAAGUUAAUAGUAAAUGAAAUUGAGACUGCAUGCAAUUACCCAACACACAGGCAGUGUCUUGGUUCAGAUACCCACCCUUUUCAUCCACAAUAUUUGUCUUGUGCAUUACAGAAUAGUUUAUUAUCUAUUGCUCUUAAACCGCCAUUUUGAUAAUCCAGAAUUAAUGUUUUCUACCUAUUAUUGGACAUUUUAUUUCAAAUAAACUAAAAGAAUGUGAUUUAUAACAAACAUUAAAUAUGAUUGUAAUCACUUCACAGUCGAUGUUAAUAACAUUCAACUAUGUCAGUUACAGUGAUACUAAAUUAUGUCACUCACACUCAGAAUUAGUAUCAUUACAUUCAACUAUGUCAGUUACAAUGAUACUAAAUUAUGUCACUCGCACUCAAAUUAAGUAUCAUUACAUUCAACUAUGUCAGUUAAAAUGAUACUAAAUUAUGUCACUCGCACUCAAAUUAAGUAUCAUUACAUUCAACUAUGUUAUGUAAACUGUUUAAUGAAGAUUUAAAUGCCCCUUUUGUUUUGGUUAUGUAAACUGUUUAAUGAAGAUUUAAUGCCCCUUUUGUUUUGGUUAUGUAAACUGUUUAAUGAAGAUUUAAUGCCACUUUUGUUUUGGUUAUGUAAACUGUUUAAUGAAGAUUUAAUGCCCCUUUUGUUUUGGUUAUGUAAACUGUUUAAUGAAGAUUUAAUGCCCCUUUUGUUUUGGUUAUGUAAACAUGUUCAGACCGUUUGGAUAUUCCUGAAAAUUAAAAUCAGACUCCCAAGUGGAUGAACAAAGGGUUACUUCAGGUGACUAAUGAUUCUAGAAAAACAAGACUCCCAAGUGGAUGAACAAACGGUUACUUCAGGUGACUAAUGAUUCUAGAAAAACAAGACUCCCAAGUGGAUGAACAAACGGUUACUUUAGGUGACUAAUGAUUCUAGAAAAACAAGACUCCCAAGUGGAUGAACAAACGGUUACUUUAGGUGACUAAUGAUUCUAGAAAAACCAGACUCCCAAGUGGAUGAACAAAUGGUUACUUAAUUUAGGUGACUAAUGAUUCUAGAAAAACAAGACUCCCAAGUGGAUGAACAAACGGUUACUUUAAGUGACUAAUGAUUCUAGAAAACCAGACUCCCAAGUGGAUGAACAAACGGUUACUUUAGGUGACUAAUGAUUCUAAAAAACCCAGACUCCCAAGUGGAUGAACAAACGGUUACUUUAGGUGACUAAUGAUUGUAGAAAAACCAGACUCCCAAGUGGAUGAACAAACGGUUACUUUAGGUGACUAAUGAUUCUAGAAAAACCAGACUCCCAAGUGGAUGAACAAACGGUUACUUUAGGUGACUAAUGAUUGUAGAAAAACCAGACUCCCAAGUGGAUGAACAAACGGUUACUUUAGGUGACUAAUGAUUCUAGAAAACCAGACUCCCAAGUGGAUGAACAAACGGUUACUUUAGGUGACUAAUGAUUCUAAAAAACCCAGACUCCCAAGUGGAUGAACAAACGGUUACUUUAGGUGACUAAUGAUUGUAGAAAACCCAGACUCCCAAGUGGAUGAACAAACGGUUACUUUAGGUGACUAAUGAUUGUAGAAAAACCAGACUCCCAAGUGGAUGAACAAACGGUUACUUUAGGUGACUAAUGAUUCUAGAAAACCAGACUCCCAAGUGGAUGAACAAACGGUUACUUUAGGUGACUAAUGAUUCUAAAAAACCCAGACUCCCAAGUGGAUGAACAAACGGUUACUUUAGGUGACUAAUGAUUCUAGAAACCCAGACUCCCAAGUGGAUGAACAAACGGUUACUUUAGGUGACUAAUGAUUGUAGAAAAACCAGAUAAUAGUGUCAGUUUACGUCCUGUGGUAAUCUUCUGCUAACCUGUAUGACUGUUCUCAUCUUAUUUAAAUGCCUGAAUUUAAUUCUGUUCAUUACAAAACAGUACAUAUAUAAAUCAGAAUCAUUAUUAUUUAGAUACGUUUAUUUCUACAUUAAAUAACAGCAGUUAAAUGUAAAGUGAAAUAUUUGAAUAGAAGGUAUUUAUGAUAUUUAUUAUAUGUAUUUAUUUUUUGGUAGAUUAUAUUGCAAAAUGGAUCGAAUUGGUUUACAUAUUUAUAAAAUUGAUAUGUGUAAGAUGUUUUUAUAAAACAUUAAUAUGUUCUUAUACGUUUCUAUAAAACAUUAAUAUGUUCUUAUACGUUUCUUUUAUCAAAAUAUAUCAGUUGUAUUUUGUAUACACUAUAUUCUGUGGUGAAAUAUUUUUAUAAAAAGAAAGACAAAAUGGAAAUAUUGGACCAAAAUAUAUUUUUAUAUAUAUAUAGUUAUAUAUUCCCGUAUUGUUAAGUUUUGGUUUUUCAGAAUGUUUGAUUUGUUACAAGAAAAUGUGAAGACAUUGAUUAUUUUUAGUUCAUGUAAUUGAAAUCUUUCGUCAUUUGUCUUUGAAAAAGGAAAUUUUACAGAAAAAGUACUGUUUCUUUGUAUGAAAGCAUUGUGUAGUUAUACAAGUGAGUUCACAAAGUAGGCUCGGCGGAAGCAAGUAGACAUUGGGGGGUUGACUCAGAUCAAGGGUGCAAAGCAAAGUUUCUAGUGGGGGUUCGGGGGUAUGCUCUGAGAUUCCUGUACAAUUUUGAAAACUAGAUGUCUUGAAAUGCAAUUUCCUGCAUUCUACAAAUAAGAUUCAUCUUUGCCUUAACAUUUACUACCAAAAAUAUUUUUGCUUCAGAAUUACUGGGCGGGGUGAUUAGAGCCUCCCCCGCCCAGCCCUCCUGCUUUGCUGUGCUUGCAAAGUAGUCAUCAACCCUACAAUUCACAUAAUAACCACCAACCUUACAGUUCACACAAUUACAACCAACCUUACAGUUAACACAUUAACCACCAACCUUACAAUUCGCAUAAUAACCACCAACCUUACAGUUCACAUAAUAACCACCAACCUUACAGUUCACACAAUAACCACCAACCUUACAAUUCGCACAAUAACCACCAACCUUACAGUUCACACAAUAACCACCAACCUUACAGUUCACACAAUAACCACCAACCUUACAGUUCACACAAUUACAACCAACCUUACAGUUCACACAAUAACCACCAAUCUUACAGUUCACACAAUAACCACCAACCUUACAGUUCACACAAUUACAACCAACCUUACAGUUCACACAAUAACCACCAACCUUACAAUUCACACAAUAACCACCAACCUUACAGUUCACACAAUCACCAACCUUACAGUUCACACAAUUACAACCAACCUUACAGUUCACACAAUAACCACCAACCUUACAGUUCACACAAUUACAACCAACCUUACAAUUCACACAAUAACCACCAACCUUACAGUUCACACAAUCACCAACCUUACAGUUCACACAAUCACCAACCUUACAAUUCACACAAUAACCACCAACCUUACAGUUCACACAAUCACAACCAACCUUACAAUUCACACAUUAACCACCAACCUUACAGUUCACACAAUCACAACCAACCUUACAAUUCACACAAUAACCACCAACCUUACAGUUCACACAAUCACAACCAACCUUACAAUUCACACAAUAACCACCAACCUUACAGUUCACACAAUCACCAACCUUACAAUUCACACAAUAACCACCAACCUUACAGUUCACACAAUUACAACCAACCUUACAGUUCACAUAAUAACCACCGACCUUACAGUUCACACAAUUAUAACCAACCUUACAGUUCACAUAAUAACCACCGACCUUACAGUUCACACAAUUACAACCAACCUUACAGUUCACAUAAUAACCACCAACCUUACAGUUCACUUAAUAAUCAUCAAACGUACAGUUCACACAGUAAUCGUCAGCGUAACAUUUUACAAUAUUUAACAACCUUACAGUUCACACAAUCACCAAGCUUACAGUUGACACAAUAAUUACCAGCCAUAUAGUUUAGACAAUUACAACCUACCUUACAGUUCACAUAAUAACCACCAACCUUACAGUUCACUUAAUAAUCAUCAAACGUAGUUUUAUUCAGUAAUUGCCAGCGUAACAUUUUACAAUAAUUAACAUCCUUACAGUUCACACAAUCACCAACAUUACAGUUCACACAAUGACCAUCAUUACAGUUCACACAAUCACCAUCCUUACAGUUCACACAAUGACCAACGUUACAGUUCACACAAUCACCAUCCUUGCAGUUCACACAAUCACCAUCCUUACAGUUCACACAAUCACCAUCCUUACAGUUCACACAAUGACCAACAUUACAGUUCACACAAUGACCAUUGUUACAGUUCACACAAUGACCAACCUUACAGUUCACACAAUGACCAUCAUUACAGUUCACACAAUCACCAUCCUUACAGUUCACAUAAUCACCAGCCCUUCAGUUCACACAAUAAUCACCAUCGUUACAGUUCACACAAUCACCAGCCCUUCAGUUCACACAAUAAUCACCAACCUUUCUUACCAUUUAUCAGUCAGUUUUGAUGAGCCACUGGAAAUAUAAUUUCUUAAAUAAUAGUCACCAGUGUUGUUGGUUAUACCUAUGUGAAAAAUGCUGACUUCCAAUAACUGUACAAUGUAUUGUGGGUCCUCUGUGGUAAAUAGCAAAAUGUCAGUAAUGGCUAACAAAUAUAAUAUUGUUGUGGCUUUAUGGAUGUGGUCAGUACGGACUUCCAGUAGCCUAGUAUUGUGGGUUCUCUGUAUGCUGUACAUAUGAAAUAUUUACGUAUAACCCUGUGAUUGUGUUUUGUUUCAACCAGUAUCACACCAUCAGCUGUUAAAUCGCAGUAGAUUUACAUCUCGUCACUGACUGCAACUGUUUUAUUGCUACAUGUUUUAUUGGUCACUUUUAUGAAAACAAAAACAAAAAAUCAAAAUAUAAUGUUUAUUUUUAUAUAUCAAAAUUUUGUUUAUAUAUAAGUAACAAUCAAGAUUUUUGUUGUUUAAAAAUUCUUAGUAGCUUGUUUGUUGUAUGCUAAAGACCUUUUUACAUAUUUAUAUAUACAUAUGGAAAUUAAAUAAGCAACACCCGUAUUUGCUCAGACUGAGCAACUUUAAUGAACUGGUGCAUGAAAUGUGUCAAAGAUUUCCAUACCAUAUGAAAUUUUCAGUGAACAGAAAGGGAUGAGGAGAAACAUAGCCAAUAAUACCAUGACAUAAUGUGGUUUAUUUGAAGAUGGUACAGAUUUGAAAAAUGACUUCAUUUCAUUCAAAAACAUUACGAAUUUCACUGUUGUUGCACAGACUUAACUGUCAGUACCAUGCACACAUCUGGUUCACGAAAUUGAAGAAUAAUGUCUGUCAAGUCCAAAUAUUGACUUUCCAUCAGUAUCUCGUGUAACCUCCCUGCACACGAACAACUGCUUCAAGACGCCUCGUUAUUCCUUGGAUCAAUAUCUGGAUUUGAUUUUGAGGAAUCCUGUUCCAAUCAUCAUGCAAAGCAGUAGUAAAUUCAUUGAGAGUCUGGACAGGUGGGUCUCUCUGUCGAACACGAUGGUCUAAAAUGUCCCACAGAUGCUCAAUGGGAUUGAGAUCUGGACUCAUGGCUGGCGAUGGAAUGCUCUCAACAGCAUUCUGUUGCAAGAACUGGGUGACAGCAUGUGCUCUGUGAGGCCUGGCAUUGUCAUGCAUGAAGAUGGGUCUUGUGGCUAGAGGAUGAUUAUCAAAAUGGGGGACAACAGCUCUGUGAAGGAUCUCCUGUUGAUACUGUGGCCCAUUAAGGUUACCACGAAUGGUGAUGAGGUCCAUCUUGCAACCCAAGGAAAUGCAUCCCCAUACCAUGACUGACCCUCCCCCAAAGGGAACCGUCUCCUGGAUAUUGCAAGGAACCAUGGCUGUGUUCCUUUGUCUUCAGACACGUGUACGACCAUCCACCAUAUGCAAUAAGAAACGACUCCCAUCGAAAAAGUGAACCCUCCACCAUGAUGCAAUGUUUCAGCGAACACGUUAAUUACACCAGGCAAGUCGUGCUGCUUUGUGAGCUGGAGACAGUUUUAUAUGCUUUAUGGGGCUUCUGGCCCUGUAUCCUGCUGUUUUCAGCCGAUUCCUGACGGUCCUGUAGGAAAUGGCUCUCCCUGGUAACCACUGUUGUUUUAAAGAUGUGCCUGAGUCCCAUGAAUGACGCCUAACAAGUCUCAACAAUGCUCUAUCCUCUCUUAUUGUUGUCUUACGGGGUCUGCCAGGUCUUGGACGAUCUUUAACAUCAUUGGUAGCCCUGUGUUUGUUCAACAGUCUUGAAAUGAUGGAAAUAUUGCGCCCAAGUUAACAUCCAAUUUGUCUGAGGGACAUUCCUGCAUUUCUCAUGCCAAUAAUUUGCCACCUUAUAGCCUCUGACAAUUUACGACGUACCAUGACAAUUAUGGUACUGAAUAUUCAAUGCAAAUUGACAGGAGAGAGUGUGACAUGUAAUCAUUACAAACUUGAUUUCAACACUGUUGAGGGUAUGACAUUUCACGUGCAUUGUUCAUCGUUGCACGUGCAUUUAAUAUCUCCACGAAAGUCAUGCUAUUCAGCGAGAUGCCACAUGUCAAUAUAUCAUUCAGAAAAAUGCUCUGUUUUCUUAAUUCACAGAAUUAUAGAUCUAUGAAUUGGGUGUUGCUUAACUUAUUUCCAUAUGUAUAUUAUUUUGCAUUUUUGUAUGCAAUGUGAUAUUUUUUACAACCUUUCUGAAAAGAUUAGAUCUGUCUUAUUAAUAAACAACAUUUUACACAUGGGUGUCCACAGGGUGUCUGCAGGGUGCUCACGGGGUGUCUGCAGGGUGUCCACGGAGUGUCUGCAGGUUGUCCAUGGGGUGUCUGCAGGGUGUCCACGGGGUGUCGGCAGGGUGCUCACGGGGUGUCUGCAGGGUGUCCACGGGGUGUCUGCAGGGUGUCCACGGGGUGUCUGCAGGCUGUCCACAGGGUGUCCACGGGGUGCCCAUGGGGUGCCCAUGGGGUGUCUGCAGGGUACCAGCAUUUUUCAUGCUGAAUUUCAUGUGUAGAAUAUACAUCUGAAUUUUGAAUAUCAAAGGAAGUGCAUUUUAAAAUAUCAAGUUGCAUACCUCCAAACCCUUCUAGAACUGACAUAAACAUGUUACCAAAAGAUGUCAAACCAUUGCAACUAUAUAUGUCCUGAUAGUAAGUUGAAAAUGAUACAUUGUAACUAUAUAUGUCCUGAUAGUAAGUUGAAAAUGAUACAUUGCAACGAUAUGUCCUGAUAGUAAGCUGAAAAUGAUACAUUGUAACUAUAUAUGUCCUGAUAGUAAGCUGAAAAUGAUACAUUGUAACUAUAUAUGUCCUGAUAGUAAGUUGAAAAUGAUACACUGCAACUAUAUAUGUCCUGAUAGUAAGUUGAAAAUGAUACACUGCAACUAUAUAUGUCCUGAUAGUAAGCUGAAAAUGAUACACUGCAACUAUAUAUUUCCUGAUAGUAAGUUGAAAAUGAUACAUUGCACAAUGAUCGAUUGUUUAUUAUUACUCGCCUGCUGGUCCAGCUGGAGGGCACCAUAGGUUUCAGCUCCAUCCUCCUUUCUGUGUGUCCGUCUGUCCGUCCAUCUUCCCCAUAAAUAGUGUUCACGAUUUAUUUAUUUUUUGACAAUGCUUCAUAAAACACAAUAGCUAAUAACCAAGAUGCUAUUUGCACUAACCAAAUAUGUGGUACUCUGGCAUACAGCUCUCACUACAGUUAACCAUUUCUAGAUUGUAGGAAACUUCUGACUAGGUCCCGUGCUUGUAAAACACCAAGUCCAGACUCAUGGCAUUGAUAACAUCUAGGUCACGUAGGUCGAAUCUAGCCAGUGCAUAUAUCACGUAGGUCGAAUCUAGCCAGUGCAUAUAUCACGUAGGUCGAAUCUAGCCAGUGCAUAUAUCACGUAGGACGAAUCUAGCCAGUGCAUAUAUCACGUAGGUCGAAUCUAGCCAGUGCAUAUAUCACGUAGGUCGAAUCUAGCCAGUGCAUAUAUCACGUAGGUCGAAUCUAGCCAGUGCAUAUAUCACGUAGGUCGAAUCUAGCCAGUGCAUAUAUCACGUAGGACGAAUCUAGCCAGUGCAUAUAUCACGUAGGUCGAAUCUAGCCAGUGCAUAUAUCACGUAGGUCGAAUCUAGCCAGUGCAUAUAUCACGUAGGUCGAAUCUAGCCAGUGCAUAUAGCAUGUAGGUCGAAUCUAGCCCGUGCAUAUAGCAUGUAGGUCGAAUCUAGCCAGUGCAUAUAUCACGUAGGACGAAUCUAGCCAGUGCAUAUAGCAUGUAGGACGAAUCUAACCCGUGCAUAUAGCAUGUAGGUCGAAUCUAGCCAGUGCAUAUAUCACGUAGGACGAAUCUAGCCAAUGCAUAUAUCACGUAGGUCGAAUCUAGCCAGUGCAUAUAUCACGUAGGUCGAAUCUAGCCAGUGCAUAUAUCACGUAGGUCGAAUCUAGCCCGUGCAUAUAACACGUUGGUCGAAUCUAGCCAGUGCAUAUAACACGUAGGUCGAAUCUAGCCCGUGCAUAUACACGUAGGUCGAAUAUAGCACGUAGGUCGAAUCUAGCCCGUGCAUAUAACACGUAGGUCGAAUCUAACCCGUGCAUAUAGCAUGGAGGUCGAAUCUAACCCAUGCAUGUAGCAUGUAGGUCGAAUCUAACCCGUGCAUGUAGCAUGUAGGUCGAAUCUAGCCCGUGCAUAUAGCAUGUAGGUCGAAUCUAGCCCCUGCAUAUAGCAUGUAGGUCAAAUCUAACCCGUGCAUAUAACAUGUAGGUCAAAUGUAACAUGUGCAUGUAGGUCAAAUCAUGCCCGUGCAUAUAACAUGUAGGUCAAAUCUAACCCGUGCAUAAAGUUGUAGGUCACAAUUUGCUGUGCAUAUAGCAUGGAAUUAAAGUCUGAUGGCUUGGUUGGCGCCUCGAGUCUCGACUUGAAAGUUUAUAAGCACGGGCCCAAAUGUUUGUUUCACUGAUAGUGUUUUUAUCCAGGGCUAUUUUCGUGGGUGUUACUGUUUGUAGUUAAAUUUUUAAUAAACUGCGAGCAGCA